AUGCUUUGCUCCUUGGGAGGAAAGCAAUGGCGAAUCUAGACAGCAAACUAAAAAGCAGAGGCAUCACCCUGCCAACAAAAGUGCGUAUAGUCAAGGCGAUGGUUUUCCCAGUUGCAAGGUAUGGCUGUGAAAGCUGGACCAUAAGGAAGGCUGAGCA